AGGAAGUCUAUAUGGUAGCUUAGUCAUCUGCUGGUGCUUGCGUCCGUCGAUGAGUUCCAUGUACGUUUUCUCAUUUCAUAGAAAAAGCCUUACAAGUUCUUGUUUGGACUAUUAGAUAAAAAAAGAAAAAGAAAAGUAACUUUCUCCUUUAUAAUUUUUUUUUGGCCUAGGAGGACCCAAAAGUUAUGAACACGGGUCUAAUAGUCUAACAUUUGUAAGUGUUAUUGAUUAAGAUCGUAGGCAUGAUAACACAGCAUUCCAAGCUUCAGUAGUCGGUAGGGGCAGUUCCUAGUGUUGUUGAUAUUAUUCUG
rnacentral:lncRNA from 1 species